GGAAGUGGACCCGUAAGGACGGGAGCUGCCUCGAAAGCAGUCAGGGCUGCAAGGCUCAGCAGGUUCGAUUCCUGUCACUUCCG
rnacentral:tRNA from 1 species